AUAAGGAGCUUGCUCCUUUGAAGUUAGCGGCGGACGGGUGAGUAACACGUGGGUAACCUACCUAUAAGACUGGAAUAACUUCGGGAAACCGGAGCUAAUGCCGGAUAACAUAUAGAACCGCAUGGUUCUAUAGUGAAAGAUGGUUUUGCUAUCACUUAUAGAUGGACCCGCGCCGUAUUAGCUAGUUGGUAAGGUAAUGGCUUACCAAGGCGACGAUACGUAGCCGACCUGAGAGGGUGAUCGGCCACACUGGAACUGAGACACGGUCCAGACUCCUACGGGAGGCAGCAGUAGGGAAUCUUCCGCAAUGGGCGAAAGCCUGACGGAGCAACGCCGCGUGAGUGAUGAAGGUUUUCGGAUCGUAAAACUCUGUUAUUAGGGAAGAACAAAUGCGUAAGUAACUGUGCGCAUCUUGACGGUACCUAAUCAGAAAGCCACGGCUAACUACGUGCCAGCAGCCGCGGUAAUACGUAGGUGGCAAGCGUUAUCCGGAAUUAUUGGGCGUAAAGCGCGCGUAGGCGGUUUCUUAAGUCUGAUGUGAAAGCCCACGGCUCAACCGUGGAGGGUCAUUGGAAACUGGGAAACUUGAGUGCAGAAGAGGAAAGUGGAAUUCCAUGUGUAGCGGUGAAAUGCGCAGAGAUAUGGAGGAACACCAGUGGCGAAGGCGACUUUCUGGUCUGUAACUGACGCUGAUGUGCGAAAGCGUGGGGGAUCAAACAGGAUUAGAUACCC
rnacentral:rRNA from 1 species